AACGCAUAUUGCGCUCUCUGGUAUUCCGGAGAGCAUGCUUGUUUGAGUAUCAGUAAACACCCUCAGAACUUUCUUGAUUUUCGAAUCUUGGAGCUCUGGAUUUGAGUGAUCCCAACGUGUUCUUUCGCAGAACAUGGCGGGCCACUUGAAAUGCAGGUGCAGCUGGACUUUCUUCUGAGCUAAAAGCAUAUUUAUUUAGUCCUGUCAACACUUGUGUUGCGGAUUAUUACUUCUGCUGCAGCUUACAUAAAGGUUGAUUGUUCAAAUGCUGACUGAUGCAGGAUUUAUCAGGUAGCGUAAAGCGAUCUGUUAAACUCGAUCUCAAAUCAAGUAAGACUACCCGCUGAACUUAA
rnacentral:misc_RNA from 1 species